UUUCCAACGGGAGGCAGCAGUCGGGAAUAUUGCGCAAUGGAGGAAACUCUGACGCAGUGACGCCGCGUGCAGGAAGAAGGUUUUCGGAUUGUAAACUGCUUUAGAUAGGGAAGAAAAAAAUGACAGUACCUAUAGAAUAAGCUCCGGCUAACUACGUGCCAGCAGCCGCGGUAAUACGUAGGGGGCAAGCGUUAUCCGGAUUUACUGGGUGUAAAGGGAGCGUAGACGGAGGAGCAAGUCUGAUGUGAAAAUCC
rnacentral:rRNA from 1 species